rnacentral:rRNA from 1 species
UACAGAGGUCUCAAGCGUUGUUCGGAUUCAUUGGGCGUAAAGGGCUCGUAGGCGGUUUGUCGCGUCGGGAGUGAAAACACCGGGCUUAACUCGGUGCUUGCUUUCGAUACGGGCAGACUAGAGGCAUGCAGGGGAGAACGGAAUUCCUGGUGUAGCGGUGAAAUGCGCAGAUAUCAGGAGGAACACCGGUGGCGAAGGCGGUUCUCUGGGCAUGUCCUGACGCUGAGGAGCGAAAGUGUGGGGAGCGAACAGG